UCCCACUAUCUUAGAUACCCACUCCAGAAAGACCAAAUACCCUUUCUUCUUUGCCGUUCUCUCUGCCUCUCUCAGUCGAUGCUCUGCGUUCUCCCACUAUUUUAUUCUUCUUUUUAUUUUAGGUUUUAUACCCACUCCAAAGAGACCAAAUACCCUUUCUUCUUUGCCGUUCUCUCUGCCUCUCUCAGUUGAUGCUCUGCUGCCUCUCUCAGUUGAUGCUCUGCGUUCUCCCACUCUUUUAUUUUUCCUUUUAUUUUAGGUUUUAUACCCACUCCAGAGAGACCAAAUACCCUUUCUUCUUUGCCGUUCUCUCUACCUCUCUCAGUUCUCAAAAUCCCUAAAUCAUAGCCCAUGGGCACUCUCUCACUCCUUUAGUGGCAAAAAGUGCCAGCCUCCAGCCACCGUCAUAUAUCGCCAAAGCUAAGUGCAGGUUGAACCCGUGCAAAAUCAAAGAUAUCUGCUUCUUCUUCAACUCUCUCUCAGCCUCCAUCUUUUCCCUGAAAAACACAAAACACGAACUGACCUCAGACCUCUAGGUUAUUGGUGUUAAAUACACAAGAAAAUGAGGGGAAAGUUAAGAAGAUUCUGUCGUGCGAGCCUUUUAAAAGGCGAUUCUGACUUUGUUGCUGUCAUGCAGGCGAUACAGCAAGACUUCAUUUGCAUCUCUCACACCCACAUGAACCACAUUGUGUUGAAGAUAUCAUUGUGGCUGCUACUUCUAAAGAUAACACCCUAAGGCUGUGGAAGGUAAAAGGCUAUUUUUCUUCAAAAUAUAUCGAAUUCUUGUGGUAAAGAAUUCCAUCCAUGUUUGAACCAUACUUUCUAGAAUAAUAAUAGUAACAAUAAAGAAAUGAAUAGAUAUUUUGGAAAUCCUAUAACAUUUUUAGCAGUUAUAAAUAAAUUGUUAGGUUCUUUUGCCAUCUUCCAUUUUAAUCCAUUUAGAUUUUUGUCAUUUUGGGCGUGUUAUUGAUGGUUGAAAUACGGGCCAAUUUGUUUAGUCUAUUAGCUGCUCAUCCAUUAAAACCCUUGGUAUCCGUACCUCAGGAGGUACAAAAACAAUGCAAGAGAGCUUGGUGAGCUUCAACUUUUAGAGUUGCUUCCUUUCUAAUCGAGUCUAAAAUCUUACCAAUUGACUCUUCACAAUUGAUGCUAGGUUCGUUAAUUCUGCUUCCAACAAUCUCCCUCUAUGUUCUUGAUUUUUGGUUCUUUAUUUUGUGAUUUUUAAUUAUUUUUUUAUUUCAUUCCUUUUUCAAUAAAUAUUAGGUUCUGUUUUUCAAAACAUGGAAACAAUAGCCUAAACUACUGGAUGGGACUUUUGUGAAUUUUGUCACUAAGGCACAAAAUAUAUGAGAGCAAAAUCUACAUUAGGUUUGUAGCAUAUUAGUAUUGACACAAAUCCUUAUUAUGUUAUAUAUUAAAGCAAGACCAUUUAGCACAUGAAUAUGGGAGUAAGAUAUAUUGUAUAUGUACUAUAGUUUUUGCCUUUGUCUGCAAAGUUUUACUAGGCAGGAACGUUAUGAUGGGGAGCUUUCGCUGUAUAGCCAGAGAAGAACGAAGCAAUCAAAGAGAAACUCUUUGGGAUGCAGUGUAGAUUCAACAACAAUAUGCUUGCACCUGUUUUCUCAUAUUUAGUAUGAUAAUUUAAACAAAAGUCUUAUGAAAAUAGUUAUUUAUAUUGAUAAAAUAUAGUUAGUGAAGCUAUCCUUGACCAAUUUAAUAAGAUUUUGUUGAGUUGAUUUGCAAAACUCUUCAAAUAUUAUAAAUUUUUGUUAUAAGU